GCUGUGCCGGGCGGCAGUCUCUAGUCCCCCCUCUGCCCAGCGCCGCAGUUGGUUGCACCCGGGCAGCCCGCUCUGGCGGCAGCGCGGGGCGGAGCGGGACGGGACGGGACGGGACGGGACGGGAGGGGAGGGGAGGGGAGGUGCUGAAGGGACGCGCAGGGAGUUGGAGGAGACCCGGUCUGGAGCAUCUCUCCUGAAGGGACACUGCAGGAUCUGACCCUGUUAGUCUCCAGAACAGACGAUUCAUUCAUGCAUGUACACAUCUCAGAGGAGGGUGCCAAGAGAGUGGUGCCCAGCGACAGGACAAGGAGCAGUGGCCAUAAACUAGAAAACAAGAAGUUUCCUCUUCGACAUGAGGAUUUUUACAUGGAGGGUGGCAGAGCACUGGAACAGCUGCCCGGGGACGCCUGCAGGUUCACUGCCCUGAGAGUGAAACAGAGCAAGAAGAAGCUCGGCUGCAACAUUAAACACUAAAUUACAGAUGCUGGGAGCCCUGAAACCAGCCUCGAUUUGUAUCAGUGCAGCCGCUGGAGGGAAUCUCGGUGUCGCUGAGGAGCCUCGUGAACAAGUUUGCAAAGUCUAAGGGAGUUUUUGGAAGAAUGAAGAGUUGCAAUGGGGAGUUGGUACCGGGAGAUGGAAAGUCCCCAGCCGAAGCGUUUUAAACCUUCUUUUUCCUUGGCUCAGCCUGUGUGCAGUCCAGUGCCGCACUGCAGGCUGUGGGCACAGGAUUCCCUGCCUUUGGCCAGCUGGUGGCUGCUCUUGCAGCUGGCCCAGGAGUGAGUGCUCCAUGGCUGCAGGACAUGCCUGCCCGGUGACAGGACACCGCAGCCGCAAGACGGGAGCCUUGAUCCUGCCCUGCUCGCUCUGUUUCUCAGCAGUUGCUGCUGGAAGGCCCAGCCGGCCCUUUUGGUCACAGCACGCAUUUCCAGUGGCAUCCACGGCCACCCCGUGGCUGUGCCGCUGCUUCCCUGCUGGCAUGCUCUCUGCUCACACCGGGUCUAGGCUGGCUCCUGUCCCCAGCCCUGUGACAAUUUCUCGUGCUGCUCUGCUGUCUGAGGAUGUGCUGUGACUGCCCCUUGCUUUUCCCCCUUGACUGCCAGUUCCCGGGCUGCUGGCUCCAAGCUGUUGUUGCAUUCCUACAGCAUCCCACUCUCCAAGGGCUCGCCAGCUGGGCCUGAAGCUCUGUGUUACCAGAAUGACACCACUUCUGCCCUGUGUCUUCAGAUUGUACAGGUCUCAGAGUUGAUGUGAUGCUCAUCUGCCUUGCUUUUCUCCAGGAGAUAUCUGUGGCUCAGUGCUCGCUCUCUAGGUUGUGCUAAGAUGAAGCAAUGCCAGCAUCUCCAUUACUUUGUGUUUCUAACCAUUUCACUUAUCACUGUGGUCCAUUUUUUGGACUAUUUUGGUCCAUUUUCUCUGUCUGCUACGCACUUUAUCAUCACCAUUGUUAUCACCAUCAUUGUCACUACUAUAAUACUUGUAGGAAACCAAAAAUAAAAGAGGAAGAUUUGAAGAAACCGUAUUUUUCUAAAGUUGAUAUGCUUCAUGGUGAUCUGUGGUUAUUAUUACAUGGUCUUGGAGUGGACUCAGAGAGUAACUGGUGUAGUACCUCUGUGUUCUAUUUGGUAUUUCUUUAGUUACUGCAAACAGCAGCAAAGAACCCUUUGAGUGAAGAAUGCAUGAUGGCCAUGGCCAAAUCAGUGUGCAAUCAGAACCAACCAUCUCCUACCCAGUAAGUAACAGAAUUAUGAAUACUGUUUUUUUAGCAUAUACUUGUCCCUGGAGAACUGCUGAGGUGUCUGAAAGUGUCCCAAGGCAUAGCAAACAUGUUCCCAUGAAAUACACUGAACACUGGGGAAUGCUACAAAAUGUUUUUCUUUUUCCACAAGUGGGACAUCCAGAUGUCAUGCUCUGGUUGCCCGACCCCUGUGUAUUUGUAUAAAGUAUUUUGCACUGGGGUGUCUUGGUGAUCACAGCGUUUGAGACAAUGUGAGUUAGAUGCCAGCCACAUAAACACUGCUCUUAGGAUCUGGAUGUUCCAUUUUGUUUUUCCACACUUUCAGGUUGGCUUUUGAGUUGAGGAAGAAGAAAAAAAAAAAAAAAGAAAAAGCUUGUGGGAGGCCACAGGUGAGGAACCUUAAAACGAAAGGAGUAAUUUCCCAUUUUAUUUCCACAAAUGGUACAAACUAAAUAUGUGAAUUCUUUUAGUACAUUCCUAUUUCCAUGCAAAAUACAGGAGAACAGUGUUUGAAAUGCAACUCUGUCAGUUUCUAGAGGGAAGAUAUAAGAUCAUUCAUUCAUAGUCAUUAAAACUAUUCUUUGCCUCAUUUUGUCUGAGGACUGUUUUGGUUUUUUUUGCCAUUUGUGAUGUUUUUUCAUUCAUGUGUUUAACAUUUUCGACUUCCACAUUCAUAAAUAGCAACAAAUCUAAACAAACAUUGAAAAAAGCAAGUCUGAAGCUCUGGGCUUUUUACCAUGCAAAGGGAAAUUCACAUUCAAAAUCAACAUUUAAAUAAUGGCACAGAUGCAUACAAGCAGGGAAAUAGAUAGCUACGAUGGAAAUGUGCCACAUGUCUCAGAACACAUAAGCACAACAGGGUGUCUCUUUUAUGACUUCCUUAAUGCACUGCAAUAUGCCUAGAUAUCAAAGGACAUAUGGUAUAUUUUCCCUUUAAUUGCACAUUUCUUUGCUCUUGUGACUUACUUACUCACAACCUUAACAUUAUUUAAUUGUAAUUUAGAUGUAUAAAUCUCAGUCAUCAUCAAGAGUUUCAAAUGCAAAUAUGUUUCAAUCAGAUCCACCUCCAUUCCAACUUUUGUCAGUGUAGUCUUUCUUUUUUGUUGAUCUGCAUUUGAGUAUGUCAUACUUUUUGGAGAGAGAAAAAUUCAGAGUAGAAUCAGUCCUUUUCUGAAAGACUUUUUCUUAUGUUUCCGACUCAUAUUUCUCAGUAAGAAGUUGUUUUCUGCCACAUGUAUUAUCUGAAUUUCCACAGAGUCACAGACAUGUCCAUCCACAAGAAGGAAAAUACGGAAUGCUGAUUCAUUAACAUUUUGAAAUGUACAUUUAAAAUUUAAAAAAUUUAAACAUAGCAUUUAUGAAGCUAUGUGUGCAAGAAUGGGACAGCAAGGAAUUUUAUGGUAGUACCACUUGCUUAAAAACCUUCAUUACUACAGGUCUUGGUAUGAAAGUUAAAGAUUCUUCCUAAGAGCCAGGUGUUUCUUAGACAAAGCUUUUAACAUCUUUUUUGGUGAGAGCACCUAAUUUUGUAACCUCCCUCCAACUGACAGCAGCCCACCCCCUUUAUCUCAUAACUUUUUUUUUCUACAUGCUUACUCUCUGUGUUAAUUAAUCUUGUGGCAAAAUGAAGCUUGCACCUGAAGGUCUGCCUAUAUAAAUGGUUGAUGUUCAAAUUCUGUUUAUUUAAAACCCAGCAACUUUUUAUCAGAAUACACAACAAUAUCAGAGUGGUUUUUAGGGUAAAUGGUUCUUUUUGCUUGCUAAAAGGGAGGAUGCUAACAGAAUAAAUUUGUCUGGAGUUUAUUCUGCCAGCUUCUUACCUGAUUGUUUGGUUUGGGUUUUUUUUUUUCACAGAAUUUUGUAAUUUCCGUUCUGCAUUGGAUAUUGUAUGGAAUAGUAAUAAAAAGUAACAUGUGAAAUGCAAGCCUGUAUGUUCCAGUAUAAAAUGAAGUACUCAAACAGCACUGCUCAUUUCAAGGAUAUUGGCAGCUCUGCCAUAUUCCAGAGGGACAAAAACAAACUGAGAAAAAAAAUCAUUGGGAUGCUAAACUUUUAUUCUACUACCUGUCAUUUUAGUUUGCAAAUAUAAAUAUUUAGAAUAAAGAAGCUCACAGCAGAUUCAGUAGUUUGUACUAAUGGGAGUAAGUGCAAUAUCUGCAGUGAGAAAAUCUUUCCAUGUCCUGAUUUUAUUCUUCAAAAGGGAAUCUCCAGCUACCAGGAACAUAUGCUAUAAAUAAAAAAUAGCAGAACAUCUAAUCUAAACCUCCUUAGAGCUGCAAAUUCCUCAAGUAUUCUUAGAGGUUAAUAUUUUAUUUGAUGGCACAGAAGCAAAGUGCUACAGUUCACUAACUUCUUCAGUUUUUGAAUGUUGAAAGCAAAACAGGAAAGGCAAACAUGAGAAGGCACUGCCAAGCCAUACUGAAGAAAAAGCAGCAAUGAUCUUGAAGAUCACUGAGCUUUCAUAUCUGGUAAAAGGCAACACAUUUGCAGUGGAGAGUCCUACUGUUCUUCUGGGAACUGUCACUCCUGCAUCAGCUGCAUCAUCUCCAGCAUCUGCCUUCUGAACACUUAUAACCAUGAAGGACAGAGGAGAUGACUGAACAACUAGAGGGCAGUACUUCCACCUUAUCACAAUUCCAAUCAACUUCCUGAGGGGAAAUAGAAAGUGCAAAUUAUGUCGAGUGUGAUUUCCUUUCAGAGACUCUGAUCCCAUGAGGUAAAGAAGAACCCCCUAAUUCUGCUGGCAGUGCUCUUUCCAGUGCUGUCCAAGAUUCUCUUGCCCUUUGUGGUGAGGGCACAUUGCUGGCUUACAACCACCUUGUCCACCAGGACUCCCAGGUGCUUUUUGCAAAGUCGUCCCUCAGCAUGAGCUGGUGCCUGGGGUUGGUUCUCCCCAGGUAGAGGACUUUGCUCUCCCUUUGUUGAACUUCAUAUGGUUCAUGUCUGACUAUUUUUUCAAUACACUGAGGUCAUCCAAGAGCAACGGUGUAUCAACAACUCUCACUCUUGGAAUAUCUGUGAACUUGCUGAGUGUCCAAUUCCCUGCUGUCAUCCAGGACUGGUGAACGUGUGUUGGAAGUUGGACCAUCAGGGAUACCAUUUAUUGAAAAAUGAUGGCACAAGUGAAAAUGGUUAUAAUCAGCUCUUCAGUAAACCCAGAUAUCCUACGAUGAAGUACUGGAACGUUAGCAGAGUCUAACUAUGAGCUGCAAGGGGAAAUGGUUGACCCGGCAGACAGAAAAGUUGUGCACUGCAUGUUGCAGAGUGACUGUGAAGGAUUCCCUUUGCAGAAUGUGCAUGAGCCUUUAUAAGAUCAAUUUAAGCAGGUAACUUCAUGUGUGUUGAUGUGAGAUUUGCAACUUCCUUUCUUCCACCUGCAAGUGGUGGCAAUACUGAAGCUGGGUCAAGAAUUUUUGGAACAGAAAUACCCUGAAGUUACUCCAGGAGCUCAAAGGAUACCAUCAAAUUAGCUAAGUCGUCCAGUACUAAGUGCAUGCUAAAAGCUUCCAGAAAAGUCUGGGCCUCUUUCCUUCAUGAAAAUGCAAAAUACUUGGUAAAUAUACUUGUUUUAAUGAUUUAAUUGUAUGCUGCACUGUGAAAUCUGGUGGAAAAAACAUUGAACUUGCUAUAACAAGGAGAAACCAGCCAUCCCAGGUAUGUAUUAAUAACCCUAUAGGAAACAAUUACAUAAAUAGUAUGCAAAAUCUUCUCACAAAAAUUAUUUCAGGUGACACCUGUGCAUUCAAUUUGAUGUAUGAAUUCUCCCCUAACAUCUGGUGGUACAAUGUUAUGUGACUUUUGUAGUGUCUCUGUAGAUUGAUAGUGCUGGGAGCUAUAAUGGUUGCUGCUGAUUUAUAAUAGUGUAAGACACUGUUGGGAACAUUUCAUGCAGGAAGCUGUGUAGGAAGGUGUAUGGCAACAUACUACUUGUGUGGGUUGUAUAAGACAUUAUCAUUGUCUUUGAAAAUUAUGAAAAUUAUAGCCGUGUUUUAUCCAACAGUGAUCCUUACCACAGUGUUUCUGACAUGAUGUUGUCCCUUUGUAGCUUAAUAGCUUCUGUUUCCAUCACAAGUGGAAGAUACAGGCUAUAUAGUGCAUUAAAAAAUUGCAUUAAAAUAUUAUCAGAAUGCAGUAUUCUCAUUUUUCACAAUAGUUACUGUAAUACUACCUCUAUAAAGUACUGCCAGCAGGUUAAAGGAAGACAAACUUUCCUCUCUGCUCAGCACUGGUGAGGUCACACCUGGAGUGCUGUAUUCCCUUCUGGGCUGCCCAGCACAAGAGAGACAUGGAUGUACUGCAGAGAGUCCAGCAAAGGGCCCCAAGGAUGAUGAAAGGACUGGAGCAUCUCACCUGUGAGGAAAGGUUGAGAGUGUUGGGACAGCUCAGCCUGGAGAAGAGAGGGCUCAAGGAGAUAAAGUCAAUGUCCAUAAAUAUCUGAUGGGAGGGUACAAAGAGGACAGUGCCAGUGGUGUUCAGUGACAAGACUGGAGGUAAGACUCAGACUGAAACAUGGAAGUUAUAUUGAACAUCAGGAUUUUUUUUUUUUUUUUUUUUUUUGCAGUGAGGGUGAUGGAGCACCAGAGGGUAUUGCCUGUCUCUAGGAAUUCAGCUUGAGUAACAAAUUUUAACAAGUGUGUCCUUUGAAAUUCAGUACGCAAUUCCUCUCUCCCAGUAUGACAGUACAGUAAGUGACUGUGACUUGGAUGUUUUGGAAACAGCACAAAAAAAAACAGGGGAGGGAACAAUAUGUAAAUGCAUUUUCCCAAAUGUUUAAAUAGGGCAAACAAUUUGCUUUGCAUUAAUGCUUUUGAAAUUAGACUAAUUUUUCAGUUUUAACAUUUGUUCAAAGUUUAAAAUACCCCUCUUUCCCCCUUCAGAUAUGAAAAAAGUGUGAGGGAAGGAAGAGGAAGGGAAAAAAUCUCAAUCCUUUUAUUAAUGAUCUAAAGGAAAAAAAGAUAAAUCCAGAUGUUCUUUGCAGGCACUUUUUGAUAAAGUAAACCAAUUUCUUUGAAUUAUCCAUGGAACAAAAACAAGGAAACAAGAUUGCAGUUCCAGGUUCAGAAAUCAUUAGCUUUCUAUGCUUUUGUGCUCUUUGUGCAUUAAGGGUGAAUCAAAUGAUGAAUUCCUGGUGGGAGAUCAGCAGUUCAGCUAAAAAAACAUGCACCUGCUUAAUCUAAGACAAUAUGCAAGCUUAGAGAGGUGGAAAUUUAACACACCACUCCCAGCAAUAGUUUUCUACAAUGUGAUUCUUGUGAGGAUAAAGGAAAAAUAGAUUGGAGCAUCACAAUUGGAAAUCUAUGGCAUGAAUAAUUUUGCUUUACUCAGAUUUUUAAUGCAAAAGAUACUGAAAUGCAAGUUACAGAAAAAGAGAAAGGAAAAAUAUCUAAGUCACAGAGCAAUUAUGACAGCAUAAGGUUUUUGAAGCUCUAAGAGGCAGUAAUUGUCCACAGUGAACAGAGAUGCUGAAUGAACUUGUUUCUAUCUAAGCUGUUUUGUGGUUUUCCUGAAACAUGAUAGAGCUAGAGUUGUGCUACUUCCAAUAUGCUUGAGCUGUGUAAAAAGAGGCUUUAUUUUUUCCGUCACACAUAUAUUUGCCACAAAAAAUUACUGACGUGUUCUCCAGAAGCUGAUGAUUGGCCUGGGUUAUUGGUGGUACAGGAUAUGUAAAAUCUGUCAGAACCUCUUUUUUCCUCCUUUUUUUAUUGUAAUUUUUGCAAAUAGGCUAAUCACUGCUCAGUGGUACUAUGAGUCCAGUAAAGAUCCUAUUUGUGUUCUGCUUCAUUUACUAAGUGUUGCAAUACUGUACAUUAUUCAUGAGCAAUAUCAAUAAAUAAAUAAAUAGCAACGUCACCUUACAUAAUGCUGUAUUAUUAUAGGCCACUGCAGCAUCACUGAUAAAACUAUUUUCUUUUAGUGAGUUUUACUGGAUAGAAAGUGGUAUCCAGUAUAAUUUCAUCGUAUAGUUCUGUAAUUCUUAACAUAUUAUGUCUGAGAUCAAUUGGUUUUAUUCUGUGUUCUGUUGAGAAUAUAUUUGUGCCCAAUGGCUAAGCUUUAAUUUGUGGAUCUCUUUUGUACAGGCAUUUUUACUGUACCUAUUUCCUGUUACAGUAUAUUUUCAGCUCCUCUUGGCUAUCACUUGUGCCCAUUCCUCCCUUCUUUCUUCCUUUGUUCACUUUGUUUUCUGAUCUAUCUUUCUCAUAGAGCCAAGCUUGUGAGGUGCAUGUGCUUUCCAGACCUUCCCACCUCACCAGGUCACUUCCAGCUGAACACGAGCCAGCUGUGCCCAGGUGGCCAAGAAGGCCAAUGGCACCCUGGCCUGUAUCAGGAGUAGUGUGGCCAGCAGGACCAGGGCAGUGAUUGUCCCCCUGUACUUGGCCCUGGUGGGGCUACACCUCAAAUUCUGUGUUCAGUUCUGGGCCCCUCAAGGCAAGAAGGACAUGCAGGUGCUGGAGCAUCUCUAGAGAAGGACAACGGAGCUGGGGAAGGGUCUGGAGCACAAGUUGUUUGGGGAAUGGCUAUGGGAGUUGCUGGGAGAAGAGGAGACUGAGGGAUGCCAUUAUUGCUCUUUACAACUACCAGAAAGGAGGCUGUAACCAUGUGAGAGUUGGUCUCUUAUCCCAAGUAACAACUGAUGGGACAAGAGGAAAUGGCCUCAGAUUGUGCCACAGGAAGCUCAUAUUGGAGAUGAUUAGAAAAAAUUACUUCACUGAAAGGGCUGCUGAGCAUUGGAACAGGCUGCCCAGGAAGUGUUUAAGUCAUAAUCCCUAGAGGUAUUUAAACAAUCUUUAUGUGUGGUACUGAGGGACAAGGUUUAGUGAUGGACUUGGCAGUGCACGGUAAUGAUUGGACUUGAUGCUCUUGGUGGUCUUCUUCAACACAUAUUUCUAUGACUCUGAGAUGUAGCUUGGGGUUCUCAAAUCAGCUGGCACUGCAGGUGCACAGCCAGACAGGAAUUCCUCUGCUGGGACUUCAUGUGCCUCACUGUUAGCUCUUGCUGUUAGUAGCUCAGUAUAGUCAACCAAGCUUUAUGUCAUUUAACAGUAUAA